rnacentral:antisense_RNA from 3 species
CUUCAGGGAGGCCAGGCGCAGCGGCCGGUCCGCGGCGCGGUGCUGUCCGUAGGUGGCGAGCAGGGCCCGGGCCUC